CGGUUCAACCCAGAAAAAUGUUGAUUUGAAUAAAUAUAGAAAAAUCAUACUAGCAUAACACUGAAAAUUUUAUCAAAAUUUGAUGUAAAACAAGAAAGUUAUGAUAUUUUAAAGUUUCGCUUAUUUUUCACAAAACAGUGAUAUGCACAACUAUUAAAGAAAUGCAAAUGAGACAGUCAAUGAUGUCCCUCACUCACUUUUUCUUUUGUUUUUUACUGUUUGAAUUAUACAAUAUUUAAUUUUUUACAGAUUUGACAAUAAGGACCAACUUGACUGAACCAUAUAGUAUUUAACAAUGCUAGUUCCACAUGUACAUGGAGGAAUCAAGCGUUGUUUCACUUGACAAUGAGGAGAAAAUUAGAAUAUUUCAUGUAAUAGAAUACAAAAGAAAUAGUGAGUGGAUGACGUCAUCAGUCUCCUCAUUUGCAUACCGACCAUGAUGUGCGUAUAACUGGUUUGUGAAAUUGAGCAAAAUUUUAAAAUGUCAUAACUUUCUUAUUUUACAUCCAAUUUUGAUGAAGUUUUCAGUGUUUUGCUUGUUGGAUUUUUCUCUAUUAAAUCAACUUUUUGUUGGGAUGGACUUGUCCUUUAAGCAACAUUACGUAUCCAUUAAAGUGCAUGUCGGACCCAAAAUUGCUCCAUAACAUGAUUUUGUGUACAAAGUCAAUGUAAAUUGAGUUUUCUCACCUUAUUCAUAAAGAUAUGAUUAUUUUUACUUUCAUCCGCUGAAAUUAAUUGAUUUUAGCAUGAUUAUGCUUUAAAAAGUAUCUGCUUUAAAUUUGGUGAAAAAACAAAGAAAAACAAAAGGUAAAAAAAGGAAAUACAUAAAACUAUGAAAUGCAUAAGAAAUUCAUUUUCAAACCAGGAUUUUUUUAAUUUGUAAUUGUUAGCAAUGGUGUAAAGAAUAUUUUCACUAAAAUAUUAGCAUUCUAACAAUAAUAAAUAAUAAUAUGUCCAUUUAUAUAGCGCAGUUACUAUGUGCAUACUUAACUGCGCUUUGAUACUUGGUAUCAUAUUAUUACCCCGGCUGUAGCUGAGCUGCCAUAUUAAUAGGCGCUAAAGCGUUCAAGGAAUAAAUCCUAUCGGGUACCCAUUCACCUCACCUGGGUCGAGUGCAGCACAAAGUGGAUAAAUUUUUUGCCGAUGCUGGGAUUCGAACCCACGACCCUCUGUUUCAAAGUCCGAAGACUAAUCCACUGGGCCACAACGCUCCAUUCUAUGAGCUUUUUAUUGUGAAUUUAGAGCAAAAAGUGUGAUUAAUGCGUAAAUUAGCAUAAUUAAUUUACAUGAAAUAAAAUCUGAUGAUUUCAGGAAUAUAAACCAUACAGCCCUUGUAGAUUACAUCCCACACUAUUAUCAUGACAAUUUUCAUGGCGUUCGCAUGAUCGGCGGCUGAGAUCUCAAGGGGUGUUGAUUCACCCCCCCCCCCCCCCCAAGUCAUAGAACACCCAAAAAAGCCCGGUCUGGCUUGAUAGGGUUUAGGCAUUUGCCAUAUAUGGGAUUACAAUCAUUGCAUAUAUAUAGGCUCACAUAACACAUUAUAUGACAUUAGCCGGCGAUAGAAAUUUUACUGUGUCAGCUCAAAAUAUUGGAAAUAUAUUUGUGUGCAUGAUUGAGUUGAUAUUUAAUUACUUGUACCAUAAUUGUUUUUUUUUUCUUCAUUGUCUUUCUCUGUUUCAAUACUGCAGGCUUUCACUGAUUACAUGUAGCUAAUCUGAACAAUCUGCUUUUCUGAGUAAUCGAGUUUGAUGAAUACUCACCUGAUCUAUUUGACUAGAUCUUUCCAAGAGGAAAUACUGACUGGAUGCCCUCUAUAAGCUUGUUAUACUGUGCAGGAGAGAAUGAAGUACAGCACCCAAGGAAAGUGUGGAUAAUUGCAAAGAUAGAGCUCAGAAAUUUACUUCAGAUGUGUAGCUGUUGAACUGCAAAAUUAAGCUGGAGCACUAAAGUUAUUUGAAAGUGGAAUUACAAUUGUGAUUGAUUGAUGUACUGUAGAUGACUUCACCAUGAGUACCAAGUGGAAUAAUGUCAAAAGUGGAUCAAAGACUUGGGUUCACUCUGCAGCAGCUCUGACAGCUGGUCAUGUUGUCUAUAAUGUAAAAUAUCUCGGAGCAGUAGAUGUAUCAUCCCCCAAGGGAGCUGAUAUUGUCAAAGAAGCUGUAACAAAGUUAAAGGUAAAUAC